rnacentral:rRNA from 1 species
GGCGUAGCAAUACGUCAGCGGCAGACGGGUGAGUAACGCGUGGGAACGUACCUUUUGGUUCGGAACAACACAGGGAAACUUGUGCUAAUACCGGAUAAGCCCUUACGGGGAAAGAUUUAUCGCCGAAAGAUCGGCCCGCGUCUGAUUAGCUAGUUGGUGAGGUAAUGGCUCACCAAGGCGACGAUCAGUAGCUGGUCUGAGAGGAUGAUCAGCCACAUUGGGACUGAGACACGGCCCAAACUCCUACGGGAGGCAGCAGUGGGGAAUAUUGGACAAUGGGCGCAAGCCUGAUCCAGCCAUGCCGCGUGAGUGAUGAAGGCCCUAGGGUUGUAAAGCUCUUUUGUGCGGGAAGAUAAUGACGGUACCGCAAGAAUAAGCCCCGGCUAACUUCGUGCCAGCAGCCGCGGUAAUACGAAGGGGGCUAGCGUUGCUCGGAAUCACUGGGCGUAAAGGGUGCGUAGGCGGGUCUUUAAGUCAGGGGUGAAAUCCUGGAGCUCAACUCCAGAACUGCCUUUGAUACUGAGGAUCUUGAGUUCGGGAGAGGUGAGUGGAACUGCGAGUGUAGAGGUGAAAUUCGUAGAUAUUCGCAAGAACACCAGUGGCGAAGGCGGCUCACUGGCCCGAUACUGACGCUGAGC